ACACAUAGACACCUUCCAAUUCCUACAAU
rnacentral:sRNA from 1 species